rnacentral:rRNA from 1 species
AGGACGAACGCUGGCGGCGUGCCUAACACAUGCAAGUCGAACGGAGAUUUCAGCAAUGAAAUCUUAGUGGCGAACGGGUGAGUAACGCGUAGACAACCUACCUUCUAGAUGGGGACAACACUGCGAAAGUGGUGCUAAUACCGAAUGUUGUAUUUUGGUUGCAUAACUAAGAUACUAAAGAUGGCCUCUAUUUAUAAGCUAUCGCUAGAAGAUGGGUCUGCGUCUGAUUAGCUAGUUGGUGAGGUAAUGGCUCACCAAGGCGACGAUCAGUAGCCGGUCUGAGAGGAUGAACGGCCACACUGGGACUGAGACACGGCCCAGACUCCUACGGGAGGCAGCAGUGGGGAAUCUUCCGCAAUGGACGAAAGUCUGACGGAGCAACGCCGCGUGAGUGAAGAAGGUUUUCGGAUCGUAAAACUCUGUUUUCAGGGACGAAUGUGCAGCUUGUAAUAAUGAGUUGUAAUGACGGUACCUGAGUAGAAAGCCACGGCUAACUACGUGCCAGCAGCCGCGGUAAUACGUAGGUGGCAAGCGUUGUCCGGAAUUAUUGGGCGUAAAGCGCGCGCAGGUGGGAUAUUAAGUCUGGUGUUAAAGUUCGGGGCUCAACCCCGUGAAGCAUUUGGAAACUGAUAUUCUUGAGUGCAGGAGAGGAAAGUGGAAUUCCUAGUGUAGCGGUGAAAUGCGUAGAUAUUAGGAGGAACACCAGUGGCGAAGGCGACUUUCUGGACUGUGUCUGACACUGAGGCGCGAAAGCUAGGGUAGUGAACAGGAUUAGAUACCCUGGUAAUCCUAGCUGUAAACGAUGGGUACUAGGUGUUGGGGGUAUCGACCCCUCCAGUGCCGGAGUUAACGCAAUAAGUACCCCGCCUGGGGAGUACGGCCGCAAGGUUG